rnacentral:rRNA from 1 species
GACGAACGCUGGCGGCGUGCCUAAUACAUGCAAGUAGGACGCAGUUGCGAACGUGUGAGUAACGCGUAGGUAACUGCCACUUAGAGGGGAAUAACUAUUGGAAACGAUAGCUAAUACCGCAUACUAGUAGAUGGACCUGAGUUGUAUUAGCUAGGAGGUAGGGUAUUGGCAUACCUAGGCGAGGAUACAUAACCGACCUGAGAGGGUGAUCGGCCACACUGGGACUGAGACACGGCCCAGACUCCUACGGGAGGCAGCAGUAGGGAAGCUUCGGCAAUUGGGGGAACCCUGACCGAGCAACGCCGCGUGAGUGAGGAAGGUUGUCGGAUCGUAAAGCUCUGUUGUUAAGGAAGCGGUACUUAACCAGAAAGGGACGGCUAACUACGUGCCAGCAGCCGCGGUAAUUC